rnacentral:rRNA from 1 species
GACGAACGCUGGCGGCGUGCUUAACACAUGCAAGUCGAACGGUAAGGCCCUUCGGGGUACACGAGUGGCGAAUGGGUGAGUAACACGUGGGUGAUCUGCCCUGCACUUCGGGAUAAGCCUGGGAAACUGGGUCUAAUACCGGAUAGGACUCCUGGCUUCAUGGUUGGGGGUGGAAAGCUUUUGCGGUGUGGGAUGGGCCCGCGGCCUAUCAGCUUGGUGGUGGGGUAAUGGCCUACCAAGGCGACGACGGGUAGCCGGCCUGAGAGGGUGACCGGUCACACUGGGACUGAGAUACGGCCCAGACUGCUACGGGAGGCAGCAGUGGGGAAUAUUGCACAAUGGGCGCAAGCCUGAUGCAUCGACGCCGCGUGAGGGUUGACGGCCUUCGGGUUGUAAACCUCUUUCAGCUAUGACGAAGCGCAAGUGACGGUAGAAGCAGAAGAAGGACCGGCCAACUACGUGCCAGCCGCCGCCGUAA